UACAGAGGUCUCAAGCGUUGUUCGGAUUCAUUGGGCGUAAAGGGUGUGUAGGUGGCGCGCUAAGUCGGGUGUGAAAUUUCGGAGCUUAACUCCGAAACUGCAUUCGAUACUGGCGUGCUUGAGGACUGGAGAGGAGACUGGAAUUCAUGGUGUAGCAGUGAAAUGCGUAGAGAUCAUGAGGAAGACCAGUGGCGAAGGCGGGUCUCUGGGCUGGAACUGACGCUGAGGAGCGAAAGCGUGGGGAGCGAACAGG
rnacentral:rRNA from 1 species